UGCCCUUGGGUCCGGCAUAACCCCGGGAAACUGGGGAUAAUUCCGGAUAACGCAUAUAUGCUGGAAUGCUUUAUGCGUCAAAUGGAUUCGUCUGCCCAAGGAUGGGUCUGCGGCCUAUCAGGUAGUAGUGGGUGUAAUGUACCUACUAGCCGACGACGGGUACGGGUUGUGAGAGCAAGAGCCCGGAGAUGGAUUCUGAGACAUGAAUCCAGGCCCUACGGGGCGCAGCAGGCGCGAAAACUUUACAAUGCGGGAAACCGUGAUAAGGGGACACCGAGUGCCAGCAUCAUAUGCUGGCUGUCCGGGUGUGUAAAAUACACCCGUUAGCAAGGGCCGGGCAAGACCGGUGCCAGCCGCCGCGGUAACACCGGCGGCCCGAGUGGUGAUCGUGAUUAUUGGGUCUAAAGGGUCCGUAGCCGGUUUGGUCAGUCCUCCGGGAAAUCUGACGGCUUAACCGUUAGGCUUUCGGAGGAUACUGCCAGGCUUGGAACCGGGAGAGGUAAGAGGUACUACAGGGGUAGGAGUGAAAUCUUGUAAUCCCUGUGGGACCACCUG
rnacentral:rRNA from 1 species